rnacentral:rRNA from 1 species
AGGGUGUAAACGCUGCAGACUUGGUGUUGGAGGCCCUUUGGGGGCAUUCAGUGCCGGAGAGGAGUUGUUAAGUCUGCUACUUGGGGAGUACGUCCGCAAGGAUGAAACUUAAAGGAAUUGGCGGGGGAGCACCGCAACGGGAGGAGCGUGCGGUUUAAUUGGAUUCAACACCGUAAACUCACCAGGGAAGACUGUUACAUGAAGGCCGAGAUGAAGACUCUGCUAGAUUUUCAGAGAGGAGGUGCAUGGCGUCAGUGACU